rnacentral:rRNA from 1 species
ACGACCAUACCCACUGGAGAACUCGGGAUCCCGUCCGCUCUCCCAUAGAUAAGCCAGUGAGGGCCGGAUUAGUAGUUGGGUCGGUGAUGACCAGCGAAUACCUGGUGUUGUAUGUU